CAGCUAUAUCUCGUUGAAACACCGGUUCUGGUACGAUCACCGAAGUUAAGCAACAUCGAGCUUGCUCAGUACCUAGAUGAGUGACCGUUUGGGGAUGCUAGGUAUUGUAAG